rnacentral:rRNA from 1 species
AUUGAACGCUGGCGGCAGGCCUAACACAUGCAAGUCGAGCGGCAGCGGGUCCUUCGGGAUGCCGGCGAGCGGCGGACGGGUGAGUAAUGCCUAGGAAUCUGCCUGGUAGUGGGGGAUAACGUUCGGAAACGGACGCUAAUACCGCAUACGGCCUACGGGAGAAAGUGGGGGCUCUUCGGACCUCACGCUAUCAGAUGAGCCUAGGUCGGAUUAGCUAGUUGGUGGGGUAAGGGCUCACCAAGGCGACGAUCCGUAACUGGUCUGAGAGGAUGAUCAGUCACACUGGAACUGAGACACGGUCCAGACUCCUACGGGAGGCAGCAGUGGGGAAUAUUGGACAAUGGGGGGAACCCUGAUCCAGCCAUGCCGCGUGUGUGAAGAAGGCCUUAUGGUUGUAAAGCACUUUAAGCGAGGAGGAGGCUCUUUUGGUUAAUACCCAAGAUGAGUGGACGUUACUCGCAGAAUAAGCACCGGCUAACUCUGUGCCAGCAGCCGCAGUAAAAC